rnacentral:rRNA from 1 species
AUUGAACGCUGGCGGCAUGCCUUACACAUGCAAGUCGAACGGUAACGCGGGGCAACCUGGCGACGAGUGGCGAACGGGUGAGUAAAGCAUCGGAACGUGCCCAGUAGUGGGGGAUAGCCCGGCGAAAGCCGGAUUAAUACCGCAUACGACCUACGGGUGAAAGGGGGGGAUCGCAAGACCUCUCGCUAUUGGAGCGGCCGAUGUCAGAUUAGGUAGUUGGGGGGGUAAAGGCCUACCAAGCCUGCGAUCUGUAGCUGGUCUGAGAGGACGACCGGACACACGGGGACUGAGGCACGGCCCAGACUCCUACGGGAGGCAGCAGUGGGGAAUGUUGGACAAUGGGCGCAAGCCUGAUCCAGCCAUGCCGCGUGCGGGAAGAAGGCCUUCGGGUUGUAAACCGCUUUUGUCAGGGAAGAAAAGCCUUGGGUUAAUACCCUGGGGUGAUGACGGUACCUGAAGAAUAAGCACCGGCUAACUACGUGCCAGCCGCCGCCGUAA